GAUGAAGAACGCAGCGAAAUGCGAUUCUUGGUGUGAAUUGCAGAAUCCCGUGAACCAUCGAGUCUUUGAACGCAAGUUGCGCCUCAAGCCAUUAGGUUGAGGGCACGUCUGCCUGGGCGUCACAUAUCGUUGCCUGAUGCCAGUUUCCUCGUGAUGGGUGACUGUGCAGGGCGAAUGAUGGCUUCCCGUGAGCAUUGUUGCCUCAUGGUUGGUUGAAAAUUGAGUCCUUGGUAGGGAGCGCCGUGAUAGAUGGUGGUUGAGUGACGAACGAGACCCAAUCAUGUGAGACCCCUACCGAAUUUGGCCUUCAUGACCCACAUGCGUCUUUGGAACGCUCAUGACGAGACCUCAGGUCAGGCGGGGCUACCCGCUGAGUUUAAGCAUAUCAAUAAGCGGAGGA
rnacentral:misc_RNA from 1 species